rnacentral:rRNA from 1 species
CCCUUAGAUGUCCUGGGCCGCACGCGCGUUACACUGAUGCAUUCAACGAGCUUAUAACCUUGGCCGAGAGGCCUGGGCAAUCUUGUUAACGUGCAUCGUGAUAGGGAUAGAUUAUUGAAAUUAUUAAUCUUGAACGAGGAAUUCCUAGUAAACGCAGAUCAUCAAUCUGCAUUGAUUACGUCCCUGCCCUUUGUACACACCGCCCGUCGCACCUACCGAUUGGAUGGUCCGGUGAAGCCCCGGGAUUGUGGUUCUUGCCGCUUUAUUGUGGCGUGACCGCGAGAACUUGUCUAAACCUUAUCAUCUAGAGGAAGGUGAAGUCGUAACA